CCUACGGGAGGCAGCAGUGGGGAAUUUUGCGCAAUGGGCGAAAGCCUGACGCAGCAACGCCGCGUGGGUGAUGAAGGUCUUCGGAUCGUAAAACCCUGUCGUCAGGGACGAAGGUCGGGGAGUGAACAGCUUCUUGGCUUGACGGUACCUGGAGAGGAAGCCCCGGCUAACUCUGUGCCAGCAGCCGCGGUAAUACAGAGGGGGCAAGCGUUAUUCGGAAUUAUUGGGCGUAAAGGGCGCGUAGGCGGUUUGUUAAGUGAGAUGUGCAAUCCCCGGGCUUAACCUGGGAACUGCAUCUCAGACUGGCAGGCUAGAGUGCUGGAGAGGGUGGUGGAAUUCCACGUGUAGCGGUGAAAUGCGUAGAGAUGUGGAGGAACACCAGUGGCGAAGGCGGCCACCUGGACAGCAACUGACGCUGAGGCGCGAAAGUGUGGGUAGCAAACAGGAUUAGAUACCCGUGUAGUC
rnacentral:rRNA from 1 species